GCGCGCGCAGCGGGCCGGCAGUGGCGGCGGAGAUGGAGGAGGGAGGCCGGGACAAGGCACCGGUGCAGCCCCAGCAGUCUCCAGCGGCGGCCCUCGGCGGCACGGACGAGAAGCCGAGCGGCAAGGAGCGGCGGGAUGCCGGGGACAAGGACAAAGAACAGGAGCUGUCUGAAGAGGAUAAACAGCUUCAAGAUGAACUGGAGAUGCUCGUGGAACGACUAGGGGAGAAGGACACAUCCCUGUAUCGGCCAGCGCUGGAGGAAUUGCGAAGGCAGAUUCGUUCUUCUACAACUUCCAUGACUUCAGUGCCCAAGCCUCUCAAAUUUCUGCGUCCACACUAUGGCAAACUGAAGGAAAUCUAUGAGAACAUGGCCCCUGGGGAGAAUAAGCGUUUUGCUGCUGACAUCAUCUCUGUUUUGGCCAUGACCAUGAGUGGGGAGCGCGAAUGCCUCAAGUAUCGGCUAGUGGGCUCCCAGGAGGAAUUGGCAUCAUGGGGUCAUGAGUAUGUCAGACACUGGAUUCCUUGACCCACAGAGAAGUGCUUCCCCUGAAGCUGUGCUCUCUUAAUCUUCUGGGCCUAUCUGUAGGCAUCUGGCAGGAGAAGUGGCUAAGGAGUGGCAGGAGCUGGAUGACGCAGAGAAGGUCCAGCGGGAGCCUCUGCUCACUCUAGUGAAGG
rnacentral:sRNA from 1 species